CUUCUAUUCACUAAAACCAUGUGUCUGAACUGAAGAAGCUGGGGCUCACUUCCACAAAUAAAGCGACAGAAGAAAUUAUAGGCUAGGCUGAGAUCUAAAAGGAGAGCUCCAGAAUGGAGGCUUGGACCAGGGGCAGACCAGGAGCUUAUCAAGAUACAAUUGAAUAAUCAAAGGGUGGAGCCUGGACAAAAUGUUUACUUGUCUGUAGGUAGCCUUUUCAGAUGAUAUGCAAAUGAUUCACAUCGUGUUUGAAGUUCAAACCAAGGAAAACUAUCAGAAAAGACUUCUGGAUUCUGUAAAAAA
rnacentral:sRNA from 1 species